rnacentral:misc_RNA from 1 species
CGCGAGAGGGCUGAAUUCGCAGCUCGCGCCACUUCCUUCGCUGGCUAAGCUGGCAUUCCCGCGGCGCACCUCGAGCCAAGCACGUCUACGUCGUCGUCGUACGCGCGUAUUUUUCUCGACUCCGCGUCCCGCGAUAUCCCGCACUGCGCUUUAGCACUGCAGUUCGCUCGCAACGUUUCGCACGUGUUUUUCCCGCGUGUUACUACCCCGCCACGCUCUCGAACUCGAAUUUCGAACUUGAUCCCGACCGUUGGACUCUCUCUCUCUCUCUCUCGCUUCGAUGCUGUGAACUGUGAACUGUGUGACAAGUGCAAGUGUUGUUGUUGUUGUUGUUUUGUCCAUUGGUCGACUCUGUCAAACUCUGACCAGUACCAAUUUACUCGAGUGUUUAUUAUAGUGCUUCGUGAUUACAUAUUCGCUCUGUAUUAUUGCAGUUUACAAGUGUUUUCGAAACAAUACCGAGUCGGAAUAAUCAACGAGUAAUUCCCGCUGAAAUUGUGGAUUCAACUGUCAUGUGGAUGCUGUCGAUCCUUGAAAGUACCGCUCGUAUUUCUCGGAGUUUUUAACUACUGAAAAUCCAGAAAUGAGUCAUCGGUAAACAAAAGUUUAAAGAGAUCAGUAAAUUGAUUCAACGCUGCAUCAGGAUGCGUUACCUUCUAUUACUGAUAUUCCUGACGGGAAUACUUGCGAACGAUAACAGCACUCUCGAUGGCAGUUUAGAAGUCACCGAUUCAGUCAAUUACGAAGCGGAUCAAUUAAAUCAGGGUACUGCUUUUGGAGAAUGGUCGCCUUGCUCACGAACAUGCGGAGGGGGAAUAUCGAGACAACAAAAGCGAUGUCGUCGUAAACCUUGCAAAGGCAGAACUUGGAAUUACAAGUAUAAAAUUUGCAACUUACAGCCGUGUAGCACGCCAACGGACCCAAGAGCCGAGCAGUGCGCAACUUAUGACAACAGGCCCUACAGCGAGCAAUUAUUCAAAUGGUAUCCUUAUUACGAUCCCUCAAGGCCUUGCGCAUUAAUCUGUCGUGGGGAACGUCAGAAUAAUAUUUCUCCUCUUUCGUCAGCGAGUAAGGCUGACGAAAGAGUUCUGGUGAACGGUGAACUUGGCAGCGCUGAAGAGUAUACCGAGUCCACCGAAUCGAUCGUGGCCCAACUGGCUGACAAAGUUCAAGAUGGUACCAAGUGCUAUCCUGGCAGCCAUGAUGUUUGCAUCAACGGCGAGUGCCAGCGAGUUGGCUGUGAUCUCAAAGUUGGAAGCAAUAAAAAUAAGGACGCUUGCGGAAUUUGCGGUGGCGACGGUUCGACUUGCGACAGUAAAUAUGCUUGGACUUUAGAAUCGACAUCAGCGUGUUCUGAAUCAUGCGGAGGAGGUUUCAAAAUUGUAACGCCCAUGUGCAAAUCAACUGGACCAGACAGCAAAAUCGUCGAUAAUUCAAUGUGUGAAACCGAAUCAAAGCCCGACAAGCUUCUGUUGCCGUGCAAUACUCUUCCGUGUUCAACAAAGUGGCUGACAGGCGAGUGGAGCAAGUGCAGCGUAUCCUGCGGUGGUGGUUCUCGAAGUCGCCCAGUUUUCUGUACCGAAGAAAAUGGCAACGCCACGAGCAAGAUCCCGGAAUAUAAAUGCAACGUAAACCACAAGCCAAAAUUCCAGGAAAUCUGCAAUGCUUUUUCCUGUCCUAUGUGGGAAGCCGGUGAAUGGAGUGAGUGCUCAACGAGUUGCGGCAAAGGUGUAAAAACUCGUAGUGUCGAAUGCCGUGAUGGCAAGGGUCGUUUAUCCAACGAAUGCGACAGAUCUCAGCAACCACGUGCUGAAAUAGAAUGUAAAGGAACUAGUUCCGAUUGCUCCAGUCUGGAUGACCCUCACGCUCAGCCGUUGACGCAACAGUAUCCCUCUGUACCGAUUCCAGAAAAGCUCAUCGAUCAGCCUGUACCUUCCCAAUCGACUUUCAUAGCGGAUGAAUGGUCACCGUGCAGUGUUCGUUGCGGAGAAGGAGUUCGUCAUCGAGAGGUGCAUUGCAAGAUUUUCCUCGAAUUUAGCCGCACAAUAGCUGAUCUUCCAGAUCAUCAGUGCUCUGGGCCGAAACCCAUCGAGACAGAAAAAUGCAAUAUGGGACCGUGUACGACCGAGGACAAUAGUUUGACGUACCGAGUCGACCCAGCCAGUGACAGCAAAUACGCAGAGUCAAGUCUCACUGAUACCGAGUUUAGAUCAGCGUCAUCAGCUCUAGCGUCUAGUAGUAACAGUGGUGCCUCUUCCUCGUCAUCGUCCGGCCGCUCGUCUGCUUCUAGUUCCUACGAUGGUAACGUCAAAGUAGCACCAGGCAGCAGUAUCAAAACUACGUACUCGUGGAAAGAGGUUGGCUAUACCGACUGCAGUGCCACUUGUUUGGGUGGUGUGCAAGAUUUGAUUAUAACUUGUGUCAGAGACGAUACAGGUAAAACAGUUAUGCCUUUACUGUGCUCCGCUGAUACUAAACCAGAGUCAAGGAUAAGAGUUUGUAACGACCACCCAUGUCCCCCGAGAUGGAACACAAGCGAGUUUUCACCUUGCAUGAGUCCCUGCGGUCUUGGCAUUCAGACCCGUGAAGUUAAUUGCAUCCAUGAGGUAACGCGUGGCACUGGAAAUACGGUAGUCGUACCGAAUCAUAUGUGCCCGCAGCCACCUCCGGUUGAUCGACAAUACUGCAAUGUAUGGGAUUGUCCAGUACAGUGGAGCGUAGGCGAAUGGGGCAAGUGCUCAAAAACUUGCGGUGGUGGAGUGAAAAAGCGCAAAGUGAUAUGCGAGCAAGUAAUGGCGCAGGGACGAAAACAAACACGUGCAGAGCGUGAUUGCCCAACGCCCAGGCCACGCACAGAAAAGGAAUGCAAUUCUCGCCCUUGCGAUCAAGCGAAUCCUGCGGUCAAGCCUAUUAUUACCUCCAAGAAUGUCACUUUCGUUCAAGAGGAUCCAGAUAGAAAAGUUAAUUUGGAUAUCGGUGGACAGGCGACUAUUUUUCAAGGCACGCCAGUUAUCAAGAUUCGUUGUCCCGUUAAAAAAUUUGACAAGGCACAUAUUGUUUGGCGCAAAGAUCAUGAAGAAUUACGAAAAUCGCGCAAGUACAAAAUCAACAAAAAAGGAGCUUUAAAAAUAGUUGAUAUAAACUUUUCUGACAGUGGCGUAUACUCUUGUUGGGCCGGACAAACCAACGCUGCAAUGCAUCUUGUAGUAAGAUCAAAGAAUCGCGACCUCAUGAGCAACGAAGAAGUUUUACGUUCUGGUAAUGCGGUACAUCAGCGUCAGGGAGCUCAUCUCAGCUCUGCUCCAGUUAACUCAGAACCUUUUUAUGGCAUUUACAAUGAAGAAAGUCAAGAGGCUCAGUUGGAAAAUGAAAGAUCAACGGAAAAACCUCGAAAAAAAAACAAAAAACAAACAUCCAGUCCCUCUCCAAGUGGCUCAACGGGAAAAUUCGACUACUCAGUCACGCCCAUACAUCAGCCAGUAGAAUCUACAGCUACUUCAAGCGCCUCUACACUAUCCCCUCAUCUGAGUUAUAUUGUAACUACUAUAAAGAGUUACUGGCCAUUUCAAGGAUCAUCGAAUUCCCCAUCGGGACGUAGCAUUGAUGAUUCAACUCAGUGGCAAAGCUGGCAUAGUUCCGAUCAACGUGCUCCAAUGACAACGGCUAUGAGUCAGCAUCGAGCAAGUUCAGAAUAUGACUAUGCGGUUGAAUCAUCUAUUAAUUCUAAACCAACGCAAGCAGAGUACGAUUUUUUCCGUGGUAAUACUGCUAUUCCAGACAACACUUUCGGUCCUGACGAGGAGCGAAUUUUCAUCGACGAUGAUCCAUUUGAAGCCGAGGAAGUAUCCUUCGCAAUAGAACACAAGAACAAUGAACGUUCUCGUGAGUCCGAAAUCUCGAGCACCGAAACACCGAGCGUAUCUAUGAUAAGCUACGAGACAUAUCAUCCAACUCGAGCUCGUCAUCAUCACGGAACUGAUAGCACCUUAGUACAUCCUCAUCGUCAUGGAAUUUCAUCUUCACCUUCAACGUCAAGUUCGAAUACGACUCCAAUUCUCAAUUCCGAUGAUGUUCCGGAUCAAUUCAAUGUGGCAACUGAUGCACAACUAAUUUCGAGAAGCGGUUUGAAAGAACGUGGCGAUGCAAAAAUGAAUGAGUCCACCGCAACUACUCCAUUGAUUAAUAUGGAAAACGAUAAUGAGCAGACCCAUCAAUUUGGAGAUAUUUCAACGUUGCCAGCAGACGCUUUUGAUUCCUCACUUACUCCCGAUAAUGUAUUAGAUCUGGAAAAUGAUACUUUAAUAGAAAAUAAAGAAGUAAUUGUUCCCACAUUUGAAUUACUGGCAGAAAAUAUCUCUAGCACCGGUAAAGCUGGUAAAGACAUGAUGAGACAUGUUGAUACUCCUAUUUUGUUUACGGUCGCUCCAACUCAAGAAAAUAAAACUGUAACGCCAUUUGUACUUAGUAACGAAGAUAAAAACCGUGAACCGACUAUUGGUACUAUCGCCAAUUUUACCAAAGAUAAUUUAAUUUUUGAAUGGGUUACUACUGAUUGGUCAAGAUGUUCUCAAUCAUGUGGAGGAGGUGGAUUUCAAAUGCGUGGUGCUCAGUGCACUGUUCGUUCAGUCAAAAAUGAUACAAGCGAUAUGAAAAUGCCAGUGCGAACCGUUAUGGGACCGUCUCUUUGUGAAGAUGCAGGCCUUCCAGUUCCCGAGAAGGUACGAGCUUGUGGUACUGGAAAAUGUCCUCAAUGGCAUACUACCGAAUGGUCUUCGUGUGAAACUUCUCGAUGCUUUAAUUGGAAGACUGCUAUGCAAAGAAGAGAGAUAUCUUGUCGGCUCGCUGAAGAGACGAGCGAAGGUGUUGAUAUUUCGACUGUAGUUGACAUGAGUAAAUGCGACGAGUCAAUGAGACCACCCCAAAGACAAGAAUGCUACAAUGAUGCUUGUAAAGGAGUUUGGAGGGUCGGUGAAUGGUCAGAGUGUUCGGCUUCAUGCGAAGAAGAUGGAAUAAAAUAUAGAAUAUUGCAAUGCGUUUGGUACGGUACCAAGAAACCCGCUGGAAACGUGUGUAGAAAUUUACCUCGACCACCUGUCAUGAAGACAUGUCGAGGUCCACCAUGUGCAAAAUCUUCAGAUGACUGUAAAGAUCAUUCGAAACUCUGUGGACGAGUAAAAUUGAUGGGAAUGUGCCGGGUGCCUCUUUAUGCGAAGCAAUGUUGCAAUUCUUGUCAUCAAGAUAAAAAAGUAUGAAUUUAAUGGUCUUCGAUACGCCAAAAAAAAUAAUUUGAUAUACCUGACGCUAGUACACGGCAUCUUUUGAUUGAAUUGGAUAAAAAUACAGCUCUGACUAAAAAUUUUAAUGUCAACAGAAAUUUUAUUUCACUGAUUUUUUCAAUGGUAUACUAGUUAAAGCCCCAAAAUAUAAUCAAUACCUCGAAUGUAUUAAUUACCAUGUGGUAGAAAUUUGGAUUUGCAAAAAAAAUUGCGAUUUUUUUUAUAAAAUAAUUGUUAAGACUGAAAUUAAAUGCUGAAUUUCCUUGAUGCUUAUUCCAUUCAAUAAGAAUAAUCAAAUUUUUUGUAUCAUGUUAUCAAUUGAAAUGAAAAAUAUUAGUUUUUGAUUUAUCAUGUUUAUUUCAUCUUCUUAAAAUAUAUCUGUUCUAUAUGAAUUCGAAUUUUAAUCGUAAAAGUUGAAUUUGUUAACUGAAGGAAAAAGAACUACCACAAAGUGGAUUAUUCAAAAUAUACAACAUAUGCAUAUUUGUAUGUAUCAAAUUACUCGACGUAUGCCUACAAAAAUAAGUCCUGACAGGAUGAAUUUGUGAAGCCAAUAGAUUUAAGCAAUAACAAAUAUGUACAGGCAACUGUAAAAUAAUAUUUUGUUAAAAUAACAAGUAUGUCAGAAAUCCUUUGACAGAUGAUUAUCCACUACAAGGUGAAACGGAUAAAAAUUUGAUGGUAAGGGCAAUUUAAAAUAUAAUGUAGAGAUGGUUUUUUAUUGUUAACGUACUCUCGCCAUCGACAAAUUUGCCUCAAAAAUGAAUGGCAUAGCAGUAAUCGGGCCAAAUUAAAGUGAAUGAAGCUUGACUUUAUAAGAUAAAAUGAUAUAUUAAACUUUUUUUAUAUUAAUGGUGUGGACGCCGAAACAAUUAGUUUAAUUUUAAAAAUGUAUGAAAGUAUGUUGAAGUAAUUUUGUCUUCAUUUACAUCUUCUAUUCCAAUUGAACGACUGGAAAAUUGUAUUCUUGUGCUCACACUCAAUUUUUGCAUUUUAUUUACAAUUUUUACUACGUAUUUAAUAAUUGUAACUGUGAAUUGUAGUUCUGUAAAAAGAUUUUUAUAUAUUACAUAAAUCAUCAUAUUAAAUUAAGUUACUUGUACUAUUUAAAGUAUAGAAACUAAGGUCUUUAAGUAAAAAAACUUCCUAUAAAAAAUUUGGCGAGUAAAAUUUGUAUGGAUACACUCUUGGAGUGUAACAACUUCACUUGCUCAAAGUAAAAAUUUAUUGUAAAUAUCGUUAAUGAACGAUAGCUAUCUUAUAUCAAUAUAUCUUGUAUGAAUAUUCUCAUAUUCUAUAGAAAGCAUCACUCUGGUUAGUUUUCUAAAGUAUAAAAUCGAGUAAAAACAAAGAUAAUAUUAACUUUUGCAGAAAAGUACUCGUAAAAAGAACAUGUUUAUCGGCGAUUGUUGGUUUGAAAUAUGAAAUGAAAUUUAUUUUUGCCUUAUCAUGUGAAUAAGAGGGCGAAAAGGAACUACGAUUUUUGUACAUAGCAAAAGUGGUUUCUCCUCAAACUCAAUAUUAUAAUAUAAUUAAUGAUACGAAACGAAGUUAUUUAUAAAACUUUAUUACACUUAUGUAAAUAUUGCAACUGCCUGAUUCUCAUAUGCAUGAGCACACAAAUAAAAUGUAUAUAUGUACGCGUA